UGGAGGGCUUAAAAAAGGAGAUUUAUCGGCAAUGGGCAAAUUUGAAAUUUCUGUCCCCACUUUUAAGCAGCUUCCUCGGUUUGACAGCAGAGGCACUGCGAUCGACUGGGAUACUACAUUUUCAUUCAGUACAACAAUGAGUCGUGGUAGAAAUUGCUUUGUACCUGGCUGUACAAGUGGGAAUCCCAAUAAAAAACAAGGCAAAUAAAGAACGGGGUGAAAGAAACCCAAGCCUUUUCAAAGCUCCUAAUGAUCCUAGCUUGCUACAGCAGUGGCAAAAGGCGAUACCCAGAUCA